rnacentral:rRNA from 1 species
CCUACGGGAGGCAGCAGUAAGGAAUAUUGGUCAAUGGACGAAAGUCUGAACCAGCCAUGCCGCGUGAAGGAUUAAGGCCCUCUGGGUUGUAAACUUCUUUUAUCUGGGACGAAAAAAGGGUAUUCUUACUCACUUGACGGUACCAGAGGAAUAAGCACCGGCUAACUCCGUGCCAGCAGCCGCGGUAAUACGGAGGGUGCAAGCGUUAUCCGGAUUUACUGGGUUUAAAGGGUGCGUAGGUGGGCUUGUAAGUCAGUGGUGAAAUCUCCGGGCUUAACCCGGAAACUGCCAUUGAUACUAUAGGUCUUGAAUUAUCUGGAGGUAAGCGGAAUAUGUCAUGUAGCGGUGAAAUGCUUAGAUAUGACAUAGAACACCAAUUGCGAAGGCAGCUUACUACGGAUAUAUUGACACUGAGGCACGAAAGCGUGGGGAUCAAACAGGAUUAGAUACCCUGUAGUCCACGCCUAAACGAUAGAUACUCGACAUACAGACGAUACACUGUUGUGUNUG